GACAGAGGGUGCAAACGUUGUUCGGAAUUACUGGGCGUAAAGCGCACGUAGGCGGAUUGUUAAGUCAGGGGUGAAAUCCUGGAGCUCAACUCCAGAACUGCCUUUGAUACUGGCGAUCUCGAGUCCGGGAGAGGUGAGUGGAACUGCGAGUGUAGAGGUGAAAUUCGUAGAUAUUCGCAAGAACACCAGUGGCGAAGGCGGCUCACUGGCCCGGUACUGACGCUGAGGUGCGAAAGCGUGGGGAGCAAACAGG
rnacentral:rRNA from 1 species